rnacentral:tRNA from 1 species
UGAUGUGGCUCAGGGGUAGAGCAAUUGAUUCGUAAUCAAUAGGUCGCGAGUUCAAAUCUCGCCAUCA